rnacentral:rRNA from 1 species
CCUACGGGAGGCAGCAGCAAGGAAUCUUCCCCAAUGGCGGCAACGCUGAGGGAGCAACGCCGCGUGGAGGAUGACGGCCUUCGGGUUGUAAACUCCUUUUCGGUGGGAUGACCCGGACAGUACCACCGGAAUAAGCCCCGGCUAACUCUGUGCCAGCAGCCGCGGUAAGACAGAGGGGGCAAGCGUUGUCCGGAAUUACUGGGCGUAAAGCGCGCGCAGACGGCUUGGGAUGUGCCUGGUGACAGUCCGCCGCUCAACGGCGGGAGGUCUGGGUA